ensembl:snRNA U1 U1 spliceosomal RNA
GUUUGUACUUGACAGAGGAGAUACAAUGAUCCUUAACACACUUUCCCAGAGUGAAGCUUAUCUAUGGUCCUUCAGAUGUGUAAAUGCUGUGACUUUCUCAAAUUUGGAAAGUUUGACUGCAUAAUUUAGGUAGUGGAGGAUUACAUUCAUACAGUCCCCUG